GUAGCUCAGCUGGCUAGAGCGUACGGUUCAUACCCGUGAGGUCGGGGGUUCGAUCCCCUCCACCGCCA
rnacentral:tRNA from 1 species